UGCGGCUGGAUCCCCUCCCUUCUAAGGAUUAUUAUUCGGAACACGUUCGUUAGAACGUGAAAACGGAAUAACGAUGACAUAUUGCAUUUAGUUUUGAAUGCUCAUUCGAGUAUUCAAGAUUGCACAUUGAAAACUAGAUAGUAAGUAUAGAUUUCACCAAGCAAAACCGAGUGAAUUAGAGUUUUUAAAAGCUUGAAUUCAAAAAAUAAUCGCUAGUGUUUAAUAGAACACUCACAGAUUAAUAACUAAGGUUUUGAGUUGAACAUUCUUGUUUAUGUCUGACUUAUGCUUUGAAAGAAAGCGUUUGGCAGACGAUGAAACAAGCUAAAAGGUAAAGGAGCUUACCACUGUAAGUGACUGCCACCUUGAAGUGAAGUUGAAGAAGGAUGAAAACGUUUGACUCAAAGCAGAAGAGAUUAAGUUAUUAAGGGCGCACGGUGAAUGCCUUGGCACUAGAAGCCGAUGAAGGACGUUACUAACGACGAUAUGCUUUGGGGAGCUGUAAGUAAGCUAUGAUCCAGAGAUUUCCGAAUGGGGAAACCCGG
rnacentral:misc_RNA from 1 species